rnacentral:rRNA from 1 species
CUUGCAAACUGGAGAUGGCGACCGGCGCACGGGUGAGUAACACGUAUCCAACCUGCCGAUAACUCGGGGAUAGCCUUUCGAAAGAAAGAUUAAUACCCGAUGGCAUAAUAGAACCGCAUGGUUUGAUUAUUAAAGAAUUUCGGUUAUCGAUGGGGAUGCGUUCCAUUAGGCAGUUGGUGGGGUAACGGCCCACCAAACCUUCGAUGGAUAGGGGUUCUGAGAGGAACGGUCCCCCACAUUGGAACUGAGACACGGUCCAAACUCCUACGGGAGGCAGCAUG